UACGGAGGGAGCUAGCGUUGUUCGGAAUUACUGGGCGUAAAGCGCACGUAGGCGGCUAUUCAAGUCAGGGGUGAAAGCCCGGGGCUCAACCCCGGAACUGCCUUUGAAACUAGAUAGCUAGAAUCUUGGAGAGGUCAGUGGAAUUCCGAGUGUAGAGGUGAAAUUCGUAGAUAUUCGGAAGAACACCAGUGGCGAAGGCGACUGACUGGACAAGUAUUGACGCUGAGGUGCGAAAGCGUGGGGAGCAAACAGG
rnacentral:rRNA from 1 species